ACUCCUACGGGAGGCAGCAGUGGGGAAUAUUGCACAAUGGGCGCAAGCCUGAUGCAGCCAUGCCGCGUGUAUGAAGAAGGCCUUCGGGUUGUAAAGUACUUUCAGCAGUGAGGAAGGUGGAGUCGUUAAUAGCGGCCUCAUUACGUUAGCUGCAGAAGAAGCAGCCGGCUAACUCCGUGCCAGCAGCCGCGGUAAUACGGAGGGUGCGAGCGUUAAUCGGAAUUACUGGGCG
rnacentral:rRNA from 1 species